UGGGGAAUAUUGCACAAUGGGGGAAACCCUGAUGCAGCAACGCCGCGUGAGUGAUGAAGGUUUUCGGAUCGUAAAGCUCUGUCUUUAGGGAAGAUAAUGACGGUACCUAAGGAGGAAGCCACGGCUAACUACGUGCCAGCAGCCGCGGUAAUACGUAGGUGGCAAGCGUUAUCCGGAUUUACUGGGCGUAAAGGGAGCGUAGGCGGAUGAUUAAGUGGGAUGUGAAAUACCCGGGCUCAACUUGGGUGCUGCAUUCCAAACUGGUUAUCUAGAGUGCAGGAGAGGAGAGUGGAAUUCCUAGUGUAGCGGUGAAAUGCGUAGAGAUUAGGAAGAACACCAGUGGCGAAGGCGACUCUCUGGACUGUAACUGACGCUGAGGCUCGAAAGCGUGGGGAGCAAACA
rnacentral:rRNA from 1 species